CCUUAAAAAAGAAGGAUAUCUCAUCAUUUGAAACAGCAUAGAUGAACCUAAAGGACAUUAUGUUAAGUGAAGCAGACCAGGCACAGAAAGAUGAAUACUGCAUGACCUCACUUAUAUUUGGAAUGUAAAAUACCAGAUUUCACCAUGU